rnacentral:rRNA from 1 species
UACGUAGGUGGCAAGCGUUAUCCGGAAUUAUUGGGCGUGAAGCGCGCGCAGGCGGUUUCUUAAGUCUGAUGUGAAAGCCCACGGCUCAACCGUGGAGGGUCAUUGGAAACUGGGGAACUUGAGUGCAGAAGAGAAAAGCGGAAUUCCACGUGUAGCGGUGAAAUGCGUAGAGAUGUGGAGGAACACCAGUGGCGAAGGCGGCUUUUUGGUCUGUAACUGACGCUGAGGCGCGAAAGCGUGGGGAGCAAACAGG